AUUGAACGCUGGCGGCAGGCCUAACACAUGCAAGUCGAGCGGAUGAAGGGAGCUUGCUCCUGGAUUCAGCGGCGGACGGGUGAGUAAUGCCUAUGAAUCUGCCUGGUAGUGGGUGAUAACGUCCGGAAACGGGCGCUAAUACCGCAUACGUCCUGAGGGAGAAAGUGGGGGAUCUUCGGACCUCACGCUAUCAGAUGAGCCUAGGUCGGAUUAGCUAGUUGGUGGGGUAAAGGCCUACCAAGGCGACGAUCCGUAACUGGUCUGAGAGGAUGAUCAGUCACACUGGAACUGAGACACGGUCCAGAGUCCUACGGGAGGCAGCAGUGGGGAAUAUUGGACAAUGGGCGAAAGCCUGAUCCAGCCAUGCCGCGUGUGUGAAGAAGGUCUUCGGAUUGUAAAGCACUUUAAGUUGGGAGGAAGGGCAGUAAGUUAAUACCUUGCUGUUUUGACGUUACCAACAGAAUAAGCACCGGCUAACUUCGUG
rnacentral:rRNA from 1 species